UACGUAGGUGGCAAGCGUUGUCCGGAUUUAUUGGGCGUAAAGGGAGCGCAGGUGGUUUCUUAAGUCUGAUGUGAAAGCCCACGGCUUAACCGUGGAGGGUCAUUGGAAACUGGGAAACUUGAGUACAGAAGAGGAAUGUGGAACUCCAUGUGUAGCGGUGGAAUGCGUAGAUAUAUGGAAGAACACCAGUGGCGAAGGCGACAUUCUGGUCUGUUACUGACACUGAGGCUCGAAAGCGUGGGGAGCAAACAGGAUUAGAUACCCGCGUAGU
rnacentral:rRNA from 1 species